rnacentral:rRNA from 1 species
UAAGCGGAGGAAAAGAAACUAACAAGGAUUCCCCUAGUAACUGCGAGUGAAGCGGGAAAAGCUCAAAUUUAAAAUCUGGCAGUCUUUGGCUGUCCGAGUUGUAAUCUAGAGAAGUGUUAUCCGCGCUGGACCGUGUACAAGUCUCCUGGAAUGGAGCGUCAUAGAGGGUGAGAAUCCCGUCUUUGACACGGACUGCCAGGGCUUUGUGAUGCGCUCUCAAAGAGUCGAGUUGUUUGGGAAUGCAGCUCAAAAUGGGUGGUAAAUUCCAUCUAAAGCUAAAUAUUGGCGAGAGACCGAUAGCGAACAAGUACCGUGAGGGAAAGAUGAAAAGAACUUUGGAAAGAGAGUUAAACAGUACGUGAAAUUGCUGAAAGGGAAACGCUUGAAGUCAGUCGCAUUGGCUGAGAAUCAACCUUGCUUUUGCUGGGCGUACUUCUUAGUUAAUGGGUCAGCAUCAAUUUUGACUGUUGGAUAAAGUCUGAAGGAAUGUGGCAUCUUCGGAUGUGUUAUAGCCUUUAGUUGUAUACAACAGUUGGGAUUGAGGAACUCAGCACGCCGCAAGGCCGGGUACUUGUACCACGUUCGUGCUUAGGAUGCUGGCAUAAUGGCUUUAAUCGACCCGUCUUGA